CCUACGGGCGGCAGCAGUGGGGAAUAUUGGACAAUGGGCGAAAGCCUGAUCCAGCCAUGCCGCGUGUGUGAAGAAGGCCUUCGGGUUGUAAAGCACUUUCAGUGGGGAAGAAAGCCUUGGGGCUAAUACCCUCGAGGAAGGACAUCACCCACAGAAGAAGCACCGGCUAACUCCGUGCCAGCAGCCGCGGUAAUACGGAGGGUGCGAGCGUUAAUCGGAAUUACUGGGCGUAAAGCGCGCGUAGGCGGUCUGAUAAGCCGGUUGUGAAAGCCCCGGGCUCAACCUGGGAACGGCAUCCGGAACUGUCAGGCUAGAGUGCGGGAGAGGAAGGUAGAAUUCCCGGUGUAGCGGUGAAAUGCGUAGAGAUCGGGAGGAAUACCAGUGGCGAAGGCGGCCUUCUGGACUGACACUGACGCUGAGGUGCGAAAGCGUGGGUAGCAAACAGGAUUAGAUACCCUGGUAGUC
rnacentral:rRNA from 1 species